AAUGAACGCUGGCGGCAAGCUUAACACAUGCAAGUCGAACGAAUGGCGGACGGGUGAGUGAUGGCUGAGAAACUGCCUGACGGAGCGGGAUAACUACUGUAAAAGAUAGAUAAUAAUGCAUACCAUCGGAUGGGCCCAGAUGGGAUUAGCUCGUAGGUGGGGUAAAGGACCUACUAGGCUACGAUCCCUAGCUGGUCUGAGUGGAUGACCAGCCACACUGGAAUUGAGACACGGCCCAGACUCCUACGGGAGGCAGCAGUGGGGAAUAUUGUACAAUGGGAGCAAGCCUAAUGCAGCCAUGCCGCGUGUAGGAAGAAGGCUAUCGGGUUGUAAAGGACUUUCAGCGGGGAGGCGUUACCCGAAGAAUAAGCACCGGCUAACUCCGUGCCAGCAGUCGCGGUAAUUC
rnacentral:rRNA from 1 species